rnacentral:rRNA from 1 species
UGGGGAAUAUUGGGCAAUGGGCGAAAGCCUGACCCAGCGACGCCGCGUGGGUGAUGAAGGCCUUCGGGUUGUAAAGCCCUUUCGUGCGGAAAGAACAGCCCUGUAGCUAAUACCUGCAGGGUUUGACGGUACCGCAGGAAGAAGCACCGGCUAACUCCGUGCCAGCAGCCGCGGUAAUACGGAGGGUGCAAGCGUUGUUCGGAAUUAUUGGGCGUAAAGGGCGCGUAGGUGGUUGUGAUAGUCAGAUGUGAAAUCCUUUGGCUUAACUGAAGAACUGCAUCUGAAACUUCGCAACACGAGUACAGGAGAGGGAAACGGAAUUCCCGGUGUAGAGGUGAAAUUCGUAGAUAUCGGGAGGAACACCAGUGGCGAAGGCGGUUUCCUGGCCCGAUACUGACACUGAGGCGCGAAAGCGUGGGGAGCAAACAG